rnacentral:rRNA from 1 species
UGGUUAAAAAGCUCGUAGUUGGAUCUCAACAGCCUUGCAAGCGGUUAACUUUGUAGUUUUACUGCUUUAUAGGCUGUGCUUUUGCUGGAGGUUUAGGGGUGCUCUUGAUCGAGUGUCUCUGGAUGCCAGCAGGUUUACUUUGAAAAAAUUAGAGUGCUCAAAGCAGGCUAAAAUGCCUGAAUAUUCGUGCAUGGAAUAAUAGAAUACGAUGUCGAUCCUAUUUUGUUGGUUUUCGGGACUCGACAUAAUGAUAAAUAGGGGCAGUCGGGGGCAUUUGUAUUCAAACGACAGAGGUGAAAUUCUUGGACCGUUUGAAGACAAACUACUGCGAAAGCAUUUGCCAAGAAUGUUUUCAUUAAUCAAGAACGAAAGUUAGAGGUUCGAAGGCGAUUAGAUACCGCCCUAGUUCUAACCAUAAACGAUGCCAGCUAGCGAUCUGCCUGCGUUUUUACUGUAGACUGGGCAGGAAGCUUCCGGGAAACCAAAGCAUUUGGGU